ACGCUGCCGGCGUGCCUAACACAUGCAAGUCGAACGUGAAAGUCCUUCGGGGCGAGUAAAGUGGCGCACGGGUGAGUAACGCGUAGAUAAUCUACCCGAUGAUCUGGGAUAACAUCUCGAAAGGGGUGCUAAUACCGGAUAAGCCCACGGACUCUUCGGAGUUUGCGGGAAAAGGGGGGGACCUUCGGGCCUUCUGUCAUCGGAUGAGUCUGCGUACCAUUAGCUAGUUGGUGGGGUAAGAGCCCACCAAGGCGACGAUGGUUAGCUGGUCUGAGAGGAUGAUCAGCCACACUGGAACUGAGACACGGUCCAGACUCCUACGGGAGGCAGCAGUGGGGAAUUUUGCGCAAUGGGGGAAACCCUGACGCAGCAACGCCGCGUGAGUGAUGAAGGCCUUCGGGUCGUAAAGCUCUGUCAGAGGGAAAGAAAUGUAUUAUGGCUAAUAUCCAUGAUACUUGACGGUACCCUCAAAGGAAGCACCGGCUAACUCCGUGCCAGCAGCCGCGGUAAUACGGAGGGUGCGAGCGUUGUUCGGAUUUAUUGGGCGUAAAGCGCGUGUAGGCGGUUUUUUAAGUCUGAUGUGAAAGCCCCGGGCUCAACCUGGGAAGUGCAUUGGAUACUGGGAGACUUGAAUACGGGAGAGGGCGGUGGAAUUCCUAGUGUAGGAGUGAAAUCCGUAGAUAUUAGGAGGAACACCGGUGGCGAAGGCGGCUGCCUGGACCGAUAUUGACGCUGAGACGCGAAAGCGUGGGUAGCAAACAGGAUUAGAUACCCUGGUAGUCCACGCCGUAAACGAUGAGUACUAGGUGUUGCGGGUAUUGACCCCUGCAGUGCCGCAGCUAACGCAUUAAGUACUCCGCCUGG
rnacentral:rRNA from 1 species